ensembl:lncRNA
AUAGUGUCACCCCUUUGGUGGAACGCACCAUUAGGAGUGACUGAUCUAGAUCAGACUGAGCGACUUUCCAGUAUCGGCAGAAGAUGGUCGGUGAGGAUGCAUCAUCUUCAGUCCUGGAUUUGUUCCCUCGUUUCCUUGCUGUAUCUGGAUUGAUCGACCAGGAUUUCUCCAUGAUGUUUGGUGACGAAGUGUCUCAGAAGUUCCUGGCAAAGUGGUCAACAUUCUUCAAGCCAAAAAUCAUUGCAGACUGCAAGACUCUUAAGAAUAUGGGCUAGCUGCUGUCAGGAACUGAACCUGAAUCUGAGGACUACAAUGAGGCCAGAAAAAAAACAUCCAAGAUCAGUUCAGCUCAAGCAACCAGCCAUCUUGUGAGCUAUUUUAAGGAAGGAGCCAGUGUGACUACCUUCAUUGAGAGUGCUGACACAAGACAACCAGUCCUCCUGAUGUUCUUCUUUUGCUCACCGAUGCAGAGAAGUUCUAUGUUAUUAUCGACCAAAAGGCG